GUGGGGAAUAUUGCACAAUGGGCGCAAGCCUGAUGCAGCAACGCCGCGUGAGGGACGACGGCCUUCGGGUUGUAAACCUCUUUUAGCAGGGAAGAAGCGAAAGUGACGGUACCUGCAGAAAAAGCACCGGCUAACUACGUGCCAGCAGCCGCGGUAAUACGUAGGGUGCAAGCGUUAUCCGGAAUUAUUGGGCGUAAAGAGCUCGUAGGCGGUUUGUCGCGUCUGCUGUGAAAACUGGGGGCUCAACCCCCAGCCUGCAGUGGGUACGGGCAGACUAGAGUGCGGUAGGGGAGAUUGGAAUUCCUGGUGUAGCGGUGGAAUGCGCAGAUAUCAGGAGGAACACCGAUGGCGAAGGCAGAUCUCUGGGCCGUAACUGACGCUGAGGAGCGAAAGGGUGGGGAGCAAACAGG
rnacentral:rRNA from 1 species